UACAGAGGGGGCGAGCGUUGUUCGGAAUUACUGGGCGUAAAGGGCUCGUAGGCGGCCAACUAAGUCAGACGUGAAAUCCCUCGGCUUAACCGGGGAACUGCAUCUGAUACUGGAUGGCUUGAGUUCGGGAGAGGGAUGCGGAAUUCCAGGUGUAGCGGUGAAAUGCGUAGAGAUGUGGAGGAACACCGAUGGCGAAGGCAGCCCCCUGGGUCGACACUGACGCUCAUGCGCGAAAGCGUGGGGAGCAACAGG
rnacentral:rRNA from 1 species